rnacentral:rRNA from 1 species
UACGUAGGGGGCAAGCGUUGUCCGGAUUUAUUGGGCGUAAAGAGCUCGUAGGCGGUGUGUCGCGUCGGCCGUGAAAACCUGCAGCUUAACUGUGGGCUUGCGGUCGAUACGGGCAUCACUGGAGUUCGGCAGGGGAGACUGGAAUUCCUGGUGUAGCGGUGAAAUGCGCAGAUAUCAGGAGGAACACCGGUGGCGAAGGCGGGAUCCUGGGCCAGUACUGACGCUGAGGAGCGAAAGCGUGGGGAGCAAACAGG